AGGAUCAUUACCGAAUUGUCAACAAGAGUUGUUGCUGGUCCCUGUAUGGGGGCACGUGCACGCUCUGUUUACACAUCCACUCACACCUGUGCACCCUCUGUAGUUCUGUGGCCUGGGGGGCUCUGUCCUCCUGCUGUGGUUCUACGUCUUUACACACACACUGUAAUGAAGUCUUAUGGAAUGUAUGUCGCGUUUAACGCAAUGAAAUACAACUUUCAGCAACGGAUCUCUUGGCUCUCGCAUCGAUGAAGAACGCAGCGAAAUGCGAUAAGUAAUGUGAAUUGCAGAAUUCAGUGAAUCAUCGAAUCUUUGAACGCACCUUGCGCCCUUUGGUAUUCUGAAGGGCAUGCCUGUUUGAGUAUCAUGAACACCUCAACUCUCAUGGCUUGCCAUGAUGAGCUUGGACUUUGGGGGUUUUGCUGGCCUGCAGGCCAGCUCCUCUCAAAUGAAUUAGCUUGCCAGUGUCUGGAGGCAUCACAGGUGUGAUAAUUAUCUACGCUUGCGGUUUUCCACCAGGUAACCUUCAGCAAUGGAGGUUCACUGGAGCUCAUAAAUGUCUCUCCUCGGUGAGGACAGAUUUUGACCGUUUGAUCUCAAAUCAGGUAGGACUACCCGCUGAACUUAAGCAUAUCAAUAAGCGGAGGAAAAGAAACUAACAAGGAUUCCCCUAGUAACUGCGAGUGAAGCGGGAAGAGCUCAA
rnacentral:rRNA from 1 species